rnacentral:rRNA from 1 species
AGUGAACGCUGGCGGUAGGCCUAACACAUGCAAGUCGAACGGCAGCACAGGAGAGCUUGCUCUCUGGGUGGCGAGUGGCGGACGGGUGAGGAAUACAUCGGAAUCUACCUUUUCGUGGGGGAUAACGUAGGGAAACUUACGCUAAUACCGCAUACGACCUACGGGUGAAAGUGGGGGACCGCAAGGCCUCACGCGAUUAGAUGAGCCGAUGUCCGAUUAGCUAGUUGGCGGGGUAAUGGCCCACCAAGGCGACGAUCGGUAGCUGGUCUGAGAGGAUGAUCAGCCAAACUGAAACUGAGACACGGUCCAGACUCCUACGGGAGGCAGCAGUGGGGAAUAUUGGACAAUGGGCGCAAGCCUGAUCCAGCCAUACCGCGUGGGUGAAGAAGGCCUUCGGGUUGUAAAGCCCUUUUGUUGGGAAAGAAAUCCUGUCGAUUAAUACUCGGUGGGGAUGACGGUACCCAAAGAAUAAGCACCGGCUAACUUCGUGCCAGCAGCCGCCGUAAAAC